rnacentral:rRNA from 1 species
UUAAUUGAAGAGUUUGAUCAUGGCUCAGAUUGAACGCUGGCGGCAGGCCUAACACAUGCAAGUCGAGCGGCAGCACAGAGGAACUUGUUCCUUGGGUGGCGAGCGGCGGACGGGUGAGUAAUGCCUGGGAAAUUGCCCGGUAGAGGGGGGAUAACCAUUGGAAACGAUGGCUAAUACCG